GCGAAGGCGGGGUAUAUUUGGGUUUAGAGGUUGAAAGCGCAGUCUAUCAUGGUGGUGGGGGAGGGGGAGGUACGUGGUCACGUAGGAGCCCCGAAGCAGAGAGAGAUGAAUGCUGGUGCCUGGCUCAAAAAUCUUCUCUUUUACUCAGUGCAGAACUCCAGCCUCAGGCAUGAUGCCACCCACAGUUAGAACGGAUAUUUCCAUCUCAAUUAACAUCAUCUAGAAACUCCUAAACAGACAUGCCCAGGGGGUUAUUUUCACGGUGGUGAUUCUAAAUCCCGUCAAAAUGACAUUCAAGAUUAGCCAUCCCAGCAGAUAAAUGGGAACGAGGAUCCCCGUUACCUCUUCGGAAAGAACACUUCCCUGUCUUCUAGAUUGUGCCGUGGUCAGCAUUCUUGGAUCACCGGCCCCUCUCACCCACCCCAAGAGCCUACUCCAUGAAGGGAUGGGUCUAGAUAUGCCUUGGGUCUAGAUUUUUCCACAUUUUGAAGUAAUGACAGAAAAUAACAUGCCGAACCACAGAGACCUGGCUUUUUAACAAGGACACUGUGGCCAAAGACAUGAUGAUGGUGGAAAACUAGAGCCUGCCAGCAGUGGGCAGGCUCCUCCGGCUUGGAUCCGAGCCUGUUGUUUAGAAGAAAAACGGUGUCUUCAAGUAAAGCCUGGCAUGGUUUUUGUU